CUUUUGCGUCAGUGAGAAUCAAAUGAUUCAACAGUGAAAAGCAAACUCUUGGACUGGAAUAGCAAGAUGACCCAUCUCUAAACAAAGCAAACUGACUAGGAUUCUCUCAUGCUUAACAUGCAUCUUACUGGUUCUUUAUGAAGAGCUUUCUCUUGGCUCACAGGCAGAAGGAAUUUUCCUUGUCUUGGAUGAGACUUUUGACUUGGACUUUUGGGUUAAGGAUUUACAGAAAGCGUGGUGCUGGCAUCUGAUCAGCUUCUGGGGUGGCCUCAGGAAGCUUACAAUCAUGGUGGCAUUUGAAGUGGAAGCGAGAGAGAGAAGAGGAGAUGCAACACACUUUUAAACAAGAUUUCAGGAGAACUCAUUCACUAUGUUCUGGAGACCAGAAGGCCAAAAUCAAAAGUAUGGGCAGGCUUGAUUUCUUUAGAAGACUCCAGCGGAGAACUGUGUCUCCUUGCUUCUGAUUCUACAUCUCCAUCCAUGGGCCACUGUUUCAGCAACCUCAGCCAGUGCAACACAACCUCAGCCAAGAAGAGUAUGCAGAGAAAGGAGUCCCCUACCUGCCACAAAACUGUUGUCUGAAAACUGUCUCAUAUUGUCUCAAGUUGUCAUUCAUUGUGAAUUAGACCUGUUUAACAUGUAAUCUGCAACAUGCUUCACUGUCUAAUUUUCCAGAGCCCCUCAUAUAAGGAACUGUAUUAUUGGUAUAAUCAUCAUGGUGAAGAAGUUGGUAUGUGGGGGAGAGAUGACAGAAACAGAGAGUAAGUCAGAGCUGGCUGCCUGACAGAUAAAAAGGAAAUGACCAAAAAAAAAAAAAAAGACACAGAAGAAUACUUUGUUGUCCACACAGAAAAGGGAAGUGUAGGUAAGACAGCAGUAGACUAAGAUUCUUAAGACUCAAGUUCUAGUCUUAUUUAUUAGCUAUGGGAGGCCUUGAGGGAGUUCUAGAAUUAAGUGAUCUCUCUUUAUAAAAUAGGAACAGUAAUAACUUCCUGGCUAACUCCCUGGCUGUCUCACAAUGCUGUAGUAGUAAGAAAUAAUUUUAUAAUUAAAGACUAUUUUAGGGCUGAUUACAUUUUUGGGCAGUGGCUCAUACAUGUAAUUUCAACAUUUUGGGAGGCCAAGGUGGGCGGAUUGCUUGAGCCCAGGAAUUCAAGACCAGGCUGGGCAACACAGACCUUGUCACUACAAAAGAAAAAAACAUUAGCUAGGCGUGGUGAUGUAUGCCUGUGGUCCCAGCUACUCAGGAAGCUGAGACAGGAGGAUCACCUGAGCCUGGGAGGUCGAGGCUACAGUGAGCCAUGAUCACACUACUGCACUC
rnacentral:lncRNA from 10 species